rnacentral:tRNA from 1 species
UGCGGGAUCGUCUAAUGGUAGGACACGCGCCUCUGGAGCGCGGUAUCGGGGUUCGAAUCCCUGUCCCGCAG